GGCUUGGAUCCGUAGCGAAAGCGAGUCUGAAUAGGGCGCUUUAGUCAGUAGUGUUAGACGCGAAACCGUGUGAUCUACCCAUGGGCAGGUUGAAGCUGUGGUAACACACAGUGGAGGACCGAACCGGUUGACGUUGAAAAGUCUUCGGAUGACCUGUGGGUAGGGGUGAAAGGCCAAUCAAACUCGGAAAUAGCUCGUACUCCCCGAAAUGCAUUUAGGUGCAGCGCUGGAUAUAAGUUAUAUAGAGGUAGAGCUACUGAUUGGAUGCGGGGGCUUCACCGCCUACCAAUUCCUGACAAACUCCGAAUGCUAUAUAAUGUUUACCAGCAGUGAGGGCUUGGGUGCUAAGGUCCAAGUCCGAGAGGGAAAGAACCCAGACCAUCAGCUAAGGUCCCCAAAUGUAUGCUAAGUUGAAAAAACGCGGUUUGUCUGCAUCGACAGCUAGGAUGUUGGCUUGGAAGCAGCCAUUCAUUUAAAGAGUGCGUAACAGCUCACUGGUCGAGAGACCCUGCACGGAAAAUAAUCGGGCAUCAAACUAUGAACCGAAGCUUUAUGUUGCACCCUUGGGGUGUAUACGGUAGGGGAGCAUUGAAACCUGCGUCGAAGGUGAUGGGCGACCAUUGCUGGAGCGAUUUCAAAAGAAAAUGUAGGCAUAAGUAACGAUAAACAAGGUGAAAAACCUUGUC
rnacentral:rRNA from 1 species